AGUGAACGCUGGCGGUAGGCCUAACACAUGCAAGUCGAACGGCAGCACAGUAAGAGCUUGCUCUUACGGGUGGCGAGUGGCGGACGGGUGAGGAAUACAUCGGAAUCUACUUUUUCGUGGGGGAUAACGUAGGGAAACUUACGCUAAUACCGCAUACGACCUACGGGUGAAAGCAGGGGAUCUUCGGACCUUGCGCGAGUGAAUGAGCCGAUGUCGGAUUAGCUAGUUGGCGGGGUAAAGGCCAACCAAGGCGACGAUCCGUAGCUGGUCUGAGAGGAUGAUCAGCCACACUGGAACUGAGACACGGUCCAGACUCCUACGGGAGGCAGCAGUGGGGAAUAUUGGACAAUGGGCGCAAGCCUGAUCCAGCCAUACCGCGUGGGUGAAGAAGGCCUUCGGGUUUUAAAGCCCUUUUGUUGGGAAAGAAAAGCAGCAGGUUAAUACCCCGCUGUUCUGACGGUACCCAAAGAAUAAGCACCGGCUAACUUCGUG
rnacentral:rRNA from 1 species